rnacentral:tRNA from 1 species
GCCUUCGUGGUGUAGUGGUCAGUACGCUGGGCGCGUAUUCCAGAGGUCCGUGGUUCGAAUCCCGGCGAGGACA